CUUACCUCGUCAUGAAGAGCCGUCUGCCGCAGAUAAACAGAACAAGUCGCUAACAGCCAACACAACUGUCAGUUUCCAGUUGCUCAGGAGAUGAUAAUCCUCUCCUUGGAAGCAACCCCACCUGAGUGCUGCAGACACCACAAGUGUUCACCUCUCACCUCCCCACCGCACCGGAGGGAGUCUCCGUGUGAGCUUAUGUCUGGAACUCUGCCUGUCUGAAAAGCAAUUACGCUACAGAACCAACAUUAGUCACAGAAAUGUUUCCAUUCAUGCCUCACGUCACCAGGCACUUUGGUUCCAGCACCGCCACACAGGUGAGUAAUCUGUCUGGCAUUGCAGCACCAAUAAUAGAAUUGACAAUUAGACAGUUUGAUUGAAGAAUUACCUAUCUCUUCACUUACAGCUGUUGAUGUAACAUUCAUUAAAAGAGGGACGUUUCAGUUUAGCAGCUUUGACAUGGUAAUUUGGAAUUAUAGAAAUGUUUGUAUUUCACACAGAAAAUCUCACAUUGAUCAAAAUACAACAAUAAAAACACAAAGCUUAGAGCAAUUUGGAACAAUUUAAUCUUUGAAAAGCCAUGGUUCAUGAUAGCUAUUAUUAAUGUUAUAAUUUGUUUGUCUUUUUUUUCCACAAGAGCUUUUUCUCUGAACAUAUUUAUAAGUUUAUUUCAUAUUUCUAUAUUUCCUUUGGUCAUAUUUUGUUCUUCGUUUUGUGAUUCUGUUUUGUAGGUUUUCACUUAUUUUAGAUUUUCUGUUUUCCUUGCUUUGCCAAUGCUCUGCAUCGCGAACUUGUUGAUUUGAAUCCAUCUCAAUGACGUCAAUUUACGAUGAAAAAACAAAUGCGACAUGGAUGGAGAAAAAAACCCAGGCAUUUAUCACGUAGGCACAUUUCUUU